GACGAACGCUGGCGGCGUGCUUAACACAUGCAAGUCGAACGAUGAACCCGGAGCUUGCUCUGGGGGAUUAGUGGCGAACGGGUGAGUAACACGUGAGUAACCUGCCCUGGACUCUGGGAUAAGCGUUGGAAACGACGUCUAAUACCGGAUAGGACCUUGGAUCGCAUGAUCUGGGGUGGAAAGUUUUUUCGGUCUGGGAUGGACUCGCGGCCUAUCAGCUUGUUGGUGAGGUAAUGGCUCACCAAGGCGUCGACGGGUAGCCGGCCUGAGAGGGUGACCGGCCACACUGGGACUGAGACACGGCCCAGACUCCUACGGGAGGCAGCAGUGGGGAAUAUUGCACAAUGGGCGAAAGCCUGAUGUAGCAACGCCGCGUGCGGGAUGACGGCCUUCGGGUUGUAAACCGCUUUUAGUAGGGAAGAAGGGCUUCGGCUUGACGGUACCUGCAGAAAAAGGACCGGCUAACUACGUG
rnacentral:rRNA from 1 species